rnacentral:rRNA from 1 species
AUGGCAUUUACCCAUAGCCGCGAAUUCAAACAAGCACUGCUGAAGUAUGGAUUAGCCAAUUUCCAUCACCUACUUUUUCCAAAGGAUGAGAGGAAGAGGGUGAGUGCAAAGUGCAGUUGGCCUGGUUGUCCUUGA